UUCCACUGUAGCUUGCAAACAUGAUCUCUAGCUGUCCAAGCUUCAUAACAGCUGUACAAGCUCGUUUCCUUGAACAACUCUGGGGAACAAAGGCUUUUCAA
rnacentral:lncRNA from 1 species